AACGCUCCGUUUUUUUUUCAGGUUCUUUGCUCUAAACAACAGCGUUGGAAUAUCAUUGCUACUUUGAAACAAGUAAAAAGUUAUGAAUGUCAUUUUACGCAUGGGUAAAAGGUUAGAUUUGAACGAGUGUUUUGGUAUAAGAUUGACUAUAUAGACAGAUAUGGACUAAGCCUAAGCCAAUAAAAGCUGCAAUGCUGUGGAAAACUUUCAGCAUAUAGGUUAAUAUAACAAAGUUUGUGAUUAGGGUAACUAGUAUUAAAAUAGAAAAAAAACUAUUUGGUAAUAAAUUAAGGUUAAGGUGACAAAAUUGAUAUAUGUUGCGGCCGUUUCUUUAGGCGAGCUCUUACGCAAACUCGAAAUCACCCGUUCUUGUUUAUAAUAUAAGUUGUUCGGAAAGUAGGCUUCUAUAAAAACGUUUAGCUGAAAAUUUAGGCUUUAGGAAAAAAAGUUUAAUUCUGGUAUGUUAUCGUUUAUUUACGUGGAGAACUGUCGCGAACUCGCUAAGACCUGAGCUUGCUGUCGAAUCCGGUGAAUACAGCGGGUUCAACUGUAGGCCAAGCAAUUAAAGUAUAAAUUAGUUAAGAGUCUAUAAGAUUCCCGUCUAUUGCCAGUCACUAUUUUAGUGAAAAUUGCGUAUAUAACUAAUGUAUGUAAUAAAGAUUGUGGCCUACGCCCACUAGGGUAUUAAAGUAGGAACUAGUUAAGAGUUGUUCUACUGUCAGUGCAUACACUAUUGCAUACAAGCUAGACAAUUAUAUUAGGAAGUAGUUAGAGUUACUUACGAUAUCGCUCUGUUCUGCUGAGAAAUCUGGCACCUCUACGUCAUGUUCUUCAUGGGAAAGAACAUCAAGGGCUUGACAAUGAUUGUGCAAAGUGGCAAAUAUAAAACAGAGGAUAAAGCCAUGCAACCUACUGAAUGGCUUCAUGUUUCUAUACACCUGGAACCGGAUAAAACAUGAGGAUAUUGUUUGUACGUUGUAAUGAGUGACGUUUAUGAUAUCAGUUGACGAUGUAAUAGUUUCCAUAAAGAUGAGAUCUUGGCUACGUACAUCAAAGAUAUAUACAAGCUGUUCCUAUAUACACGUCGGCGAUUUCGAGUUAUCCCAAUUCUAGCUCCUUAACAGUUCUGCCUGAAAUACGGGCAUGGUUGCCAUCCGAGACCUCAAGGAAACUACAUUGAAGCAGCAGGCGUACAGCCAAUACAGGAAGCGGGAUAUAACUCGCCCUAACCAACUCAUAUUCCCAUCCCUGUGUAUCGGAUAAUCAGUUCUUCAAAGUUUAACAACACUAGCUUAUUCAGUUAAAUAUUGCAUAAUUUUUUCGCGGACUUUAGUGUUUUACCAUUGUUAACGCUGUGCUACUGAACGGUAGGACAAUGGUGCAACCGAAAAUGGGAAACGGACAUCAACCCGCAUUGUAUAUGACAUCUAACGACAAUACAUACUGAGCUUAUAGCUAUUUUAUUUCUUAACCAACUGUUUGCUAAGUAGAUUAGUAUUUUUGGUGGUAAUUAUAAGACCAUAUGCCCAGUUACAUGGCCGAGCAACAUUACAUUUAACUUUUAAACAGGCAGUUAGAAUCCAUCUAUGAAUAUCACACAAAACUGGAUAAGACUGUAAUGUAUAAAAACACUUCGCAGCCUUCAACCACUUCGUCCAUACGAGCUCCAUAAUUUCCAACAGCCGAUUAACAUACUGCUUGUCGUUAGCUACGCGCAUUCCGCCACUAAACAUCCACAUAUGGUAAAUAUACUGUUUAAAUAACUCCUCACGACUUAGGAUUCAUAUGCUUAGUUUCUCGCUGAGACCCAGCUUAUUAACUGCUAACAGCUGCUACUAAUAACACUUAAAUUUGACAAAGAUAUUAGUAUCUAGUUUUAUCAACCAUCCAUAACACUUAUAGUCUAAAAAUAAUGCAAUAUAUACUUAACGUUUCAUAACCUCAAUGUAAUAUUUCCUAACACUAAUGUAAUACAAUACAACACUUCUUCCAAGCAUUACAUUAUAAUACAAUACAUUAUAUUGACGCUAGUUUGAAAUACUGCAUCAUAAUUCCCACACCUGGACAUGCAUCCUGUCUAUUGAUUUAACUGACUCGUAAUAUUUUUCGUUUGUUGUUCCCUUGUGUAAAAAUCCUGUCUUGUUACAUCAUCAUCAUUGUUAUUUAUCAUUGCUCUAGAAUUAUUUUUAUUAUGACGUCGUAAUGGCUCAGUUCUGGAAACCGUAAUCGUUAUUCUAGUAUGUAGUUAUUGUUGAGACAUGAAGAACAUGUUAAGUCGGAUUUGUGUUUGCACAAAACUUGUAAAAGUGAUAAAAUGACGUAGUCGCAUUGAAAUUAGUUCUUUAUGUAAGUAUAACUUCUUAUCCCAUAAAACUUACGUGGAUAACUCGCUUCUCUUUUGUAUAGUCGGGCUUAUAACAUAACAUAUCUUUAUAUUUAUCUCAUUGAAAACGGGAGAAAAAAAUGUUUAAUAAACGAAGAGAUCAAACCACAUACGACAACUAAUAAAACUUAUGGAAACUACAAAGGUGACUUGUAGUUCAUACCAGGUGUAGGGUAUCUUGUAAAUGUGAGCUUAACACGGGUUUAUGUUUCAUACACAUUGUGUCUACUUACCAGUUACCACGUAUGUAACCUUGUGGGUUAUGGCAAGAAAAGUUUAAUAACUUUAACCAUGUAUGUAUUCUUGCAACGAGUCAAAAACGCAAUAACUCUUUUAUUUGCUUAUAACGAAAUUUAGAUAGGUAAUUUAAAAUACAUACACUUAUCUAACGUAUUGCACAGUUUG